AGACAGCAGCAGCCACGGGAAUACGUAGGGUGCAAGCGUUAAUCGGAAUUACUGGGCGUAAAGCGUGCGCAGGCGGUUAUAUAAGUCAGAUGUGAAAUCCCCGGGCUCAACCUGGGAACUGCAUUUGAGACUGUAUGGCUAGAGUGUGUCAGAGGGGGGUAGAAUUCCACGUGUAGCAGUGAAAUGCGUAGAUAUGUGGAGGAAUACCGAUGGCGAAGGCAGCCCCCUGGGAUAACACUGACGCUCAUGCACGAAAGCGUGGGGAGCAAACAGGAUUAGAUACCCGUGUAGUCCCUGUCUCUUAUAC
rnacentral:rRNA from 1 species